CAGCAGCCGCCGCGGUAAUACGGAGGGUGCAAGCGUUAAUCGGAAUUACUGGGCGUAAAGCGCACGCAGGCGGUCUGACAAGUCAGAUGUGAAAUCCCCGGGCUUAACCUGGGAACUGCAUUUGAAACUGUCAGGCUGGAGUCUUGUAGAGGGGGGUGGAAUUCCAGGUGUAGCGGUGAAAUGCGUAGAGAUCUGGAGGAAUACCGGUGGCGAAGGCGGCCCCCUGGACAAAGACUGACGCUCAGGUGCGAAAGCGUGGGGAGCAAACAGGAUUAGAUACCCGCGUAGUCCCUGUCUCUUAUAC
rnacentral:rRNA from 1 species